AUAUCUAAAAUGCUAUAUGAAUGAGAUAGUGUGGACAAGUUAGGCAAUAACAUAGUGUGGCGAAGCUGUUAAAGCAGGUUUCUGUACACCAGCCUUCUUUACUUUGUCAAAGUUCUAAAUCAAAGUGGUGAUCAGGAAAGUGGUUUUGCUGAACUCUUUCUUGUUGAAUUAAACUUUCACAUUUCCCAGUAUAGGCCUUAAAAGGAGAAUCUAGUACAAACAAUUAUCACAACCAUGCACAGAAACACGGGUAGAAGUUUGCUGACACCAAAUACCAUUUAUUGGGGCUUUACAAAGACUACAAAAUCCUCCAGAUGAGUUAAAUCACUGUCUCUCCCUCUCUCUAUUUACAUGAUAUGUUACAUACAAAUGUACAAAGUAUAAAACAUUUAAAGGACAAAUGUUUCACUCACCCAAAAGUGUAUGCAUGUAUAUCUAUAUAUACAUCUAUAGAUAGAUAGAUAUAACUUUUUUUAAUGUUUUCUCUCAAACCGUAGUACUUUAGUAUCGACCAAAUGGACAUGGUCCAGCAGGUGUGUGGUUGGUUAAGGACAUUGAAGCAGGUUUCCAGAGAUGGUAGGUUUUGAUUAGAAACCUCACUAGGUUGUUACCAAGGUAACCACAGCGAUGGAGUGUAGGUAGUACAGUAGGCUUUAGAUUGUCCUGAGGCUGUGAUGGCUGCCGACGUCCUAGCACCGGAGAAAGAAUCGGAGGCCAGGCUACGGUUGGUCCUUCCAGGCCUAGAACCAAACCCUGAGGCCCGGGCACGGUGGGUCCUUCCAGGCCUCAAACCCUUGGGCACCACAGAGCUUGGCUUUUAAACAGGGAGAAGGGGAAGUGCUCGUACUAAAGACGGAGAGAAGUGUUGGACGAGAGAAAGAGAACGGGUUGGUUUACGGUGAUCUAGUGGCGUCGUCGUUAUACUGAGUUAAAUGACAGCCGCACACUGUUAACCGCGAGUCUCCUGCAUAGACAAAACAAUCACAUCACAUAUAUACCCCGCCUCGUGAGGGUUUUUUGCAUUUCUUUAUUUUUUUUAAAUCCUCUUUGUUUUUCUGAACAUGAUCGGUAAUUUUCAUCGGGGUAAACAUAAUGCAACAUCCACAGGCCAGAGAGUAUCUUUGAUUCACUGUGCAAGACGGAACUAUUUACACACCAACCCCCCGCCCC
ensembl:lncRNA